UACGUAGGGGGCAAGCGUUGUCCGGAUUUACUGGGUGUAAAGGGUGCUCAGGUGGCUUGGCAAGUCAGUGGUGAAAUCUGAGAGCUUAACUCUCAAACUGCCAUUGAUACUUCUUAGCUUGAGUACGGAAGAGGCUGAUGGAAUUUCAGGUGUAGCAGUGAAAUGCGUAGAUAUCUGAAAGAACACCAGUGGCGAAGGCGACUCACUGGACACGUAUUGACGCUGAGGUGCGAAAGCGUGGGGAGCAAACAGG
rnacentral:rRNA from 1 species